rnacentral:rRNA from 1 species
AGUUCGGACUGUAGGCUGCAACUCGCCUACACGAAGUUGGAAUUGCUAGUAAUCGUGGAUCAGCAUGCCACGGUGAAUACGUUCCCGGGUCUUGUACACACCGCCCGUCACACCAUGGGAGCUGGUAACACCCGAAGUCAGUAGUCUAACCGCAAGGAGGACGCUGCCGAAGGUGGGAUUAGCGACUGGGGUGAAGUCGUAACAAGGUAGC